GAAUUCGCCCUUAGAGUUUGAUCCUGGCUCAGGAUGAACGCUGGCGGCGUGCUUAACACAUGCAAGUCGAACGGGGCACCCCUGAAGGAGUUUUCGGACAACUGAUGGGAAUGCUUAGUGGCGGACGGGUGAGUAACGCGUGAGUAACCUGCCUUGGAGUGGGGAAUAACAGCUGGAAACAGCUGCUAAUACCGCAUAAUAUGUCUGAAUCGCAUGGUUCUGGACAUCAAAGAUUUAUCGCUCUGAGAUGGACUCGCGUCUGAUUAGCUAGUUGGUGGGGCAAUGGCCCACCAAGGCGACGAUCAGUAGCCGGACUGAGAGGUUGGCCGGCCACAUUGGGACUGAGACACGGCCCAGACUCCUACGGGAGGCAGCAGUGGGGAAUAUUGGGCAAUGGGCGCAAGCCUGACCCAGCAACGCCGCGUGAAGGAAGAAGGCUUUCGGGUUGUAAACUUCUUUUCUCAGGGACGAAGAAAGUGACGGUACCUGAGGAAUAAGCCACGGCUAACUACGUGCCAGCAGCCGCGGUAAUACGUAGGUGGCAAGCGUUAUCCGGAUUUACUGGGUGUAAAGGGCGUGUAGGCGGGGACGCAAGUCAGAUGUGAAAACCACGGGCUCAACCUGUGGCCUGCAUUUGAAACUGUGUUUCUUGAGUACCGGAGAGGCAGACGGAAUUCCUAGUGUAGCGGUGAAAUGCGUAGAUAUAUGGGAGAACACCAGUGGCGAAGGCGGCCGCCUGGCCUGUUGCUGACGCUGAGGCACGAAAGCGUGGGGAGCAAAUAGGAUUAGAUACCCUAGUAGUCCACGCCGUAAACGAUGAGGACCAAGUGUUGGGGGUGAAACCUCAGUGCUGAAGUUAACGCAGUGAGUCCUCCGCCUGGGGAGUAUGCACGCAAGUGUGAAACUCAAAGGAAUUGACGGGGGCCCGCACAAGCGGUGGAGUAUGUGGUUUAAUUCGAAGCAACGCGAAGAACCUUACCAGGCCUUGACAUGGGAUGCGAAGAUGCAGAGAUGCAUCGGAGGUCAACAUCCACACAGGUGGUGCAUGGUUGUCGUCAGCUCGUGUCGUGAGAUGUUGGGUUAAGUCCCGCAACGAGCGCAACCCCUGCCCGCAGUAGCCAGCAUUUUAGAUGGGGACUCUGCGGGGACUGCUGGGGACAACCCGGAGGAAGGCGGGGAUGACGCCAAAUCAUCAUGCCCCUUAUGGCCUGGGCUACACACGUGCUACAAUGGCGCCGACAGAGGGAGGCGAAGCGGCGACGCGGAGCGAACCCCAAAAACGGCGUCCCAGUUCGGAUUGUAGUCUGCAACCCGACUACAUGAAGCCGGAAUCGCUAGUAAUCGCGGAUCAGAAUGCCGCGGUGAAUACGUUCCCGGGUCUUGCACACACCGCCCGUCA
rnacentral:rRNA from 1 species